rnacentral:tRNA from 1 species
GGGUUUUUAGUAUAUAAGUACAUUUACCUUCCAAGUAAAAAGAUUAUCAAACUAUAAAAAACUCA